GGAUGCUCAAAUUAAGCAUGCUGUGGUGGUAAAAGUAAUGGGAAGGACUGGAUCAAGGGGUCAGGUGACUCAAGUCAGAGUCAAGUUUUUGGAUGACCAGAAUCGAUUCAUCAUGAGGAACGUGAAGGGACCCGUUAGAGAAGGAGAUGUGCUUACCCUUCUUGAAUCUGAAAGAGAAGCUAGGAGACUACGUUGAUGGGUGUAUUUCUGCCUCUCAUUCCUAUGCUUUUUAUGAUGUAGCAAAGGCUGUUUUGUUGUAGAAGCUAAGAGUAAUUUCCAAUGCUUUUGGAUUACUUUUUUCUUCAUGAGAAUAUCAAGACGUGAAUUUCGAUAUAUGGUUUUUUUUAGUACUUGAAAAGACCUAGAAUUUGCUGUGAAUUGUGGUUUCCUUUGUUGGGAUUUUUUAAUUUGUAGCUAUGCUAAUGCCAAUUUGUGAUGCUUGGAUCUCAUUUUUGGAUGGGAAAAUGUUUAAUGGCCUUGUUUUUUAUUCAUAGCAUGCAAGUUGUACAAUGAUAUUAGCUUAACGGAGGGAUUAUUAGGGUUUGCUUGAUUCAAACUCUCCCUUGCUUGAUAAUUUCACUUUCCUGGAGUAAGUGGCCUUUUAUACAUAUUUAUAUGAACUUGUAUGAGUAAGAGUAUUUCUUGAGAAGGAAUUAUUGCAUUUGAGUAUUAUAGUUGUUGAACAUCUAUUGGUUUUAACAAUGCAUGUGUUUGAAACUAUGGUCACUAAUAAUAGGUGUGGUCACUAAAAGUAGUUGAAGAUAACAUCAGAAAUAGCCUCAAAAAGGCUAUCAAAUUCUUUAAAGAAAACGGAAUGCCUUACCAAUUGGUUAGAAAAAAUUCCUGAUGAAAUCCAUUUUUACCCAAGGAAAAAGUAUCAUUCAUGAUGAAUCAUCGGGGAAGUUUUGCAGUAUGAACUGCCGGCGUGUUAGCUUGUUUUGUAUUUUUGAAAGGUAAAAUUGAUAUCAUAUGUUUUCCAUUGUGUGUACUGUGCUCUGUUUUGGUUGAAAGUGAAAGUUGGUUGUUUGACAAUUUAGUCCCAUUUGUACUAGCAAAAGAAAUAUGACAUUUUCACUACUUGAAAAGGAUGAAUACUUCUCAAGAAUGAGAAUGAAACCCUUACUCUAUUACACUAACAAGGAAAGUGAUAAGAUAGAAGGGACUAUAUAAAAUGUCUACUUUAGGAAUAUAAACGGAUAGGGUAACCGUGAAAAUUAAAUUUAUAUUUAAACUAUUCGAAUCCGUUUCAAACCCGAUUAUUAUUAUCCGAAUAAAAUCCGAACUCGUUUAAUCUUAUAUAUUUUAAUUAAUAAUUUAUAUAAAAAAUAUUUUUUAUUAAUAAUUUUCAUUUAAAAAAUUUAAUAUUUCUAAAGAAUAUUUAAAUUUAAAUUUUUAAAUAAAAAUUAUAAAAAAAUUUAUAAAUAUUAUUAUAAAAUAUAUUUUUUAUAUUAAAUUAAUUAUUUAUAUAAACGGUUCGGAUAGUGGGUAUUACAUAAAACCCGAACCCGCAACGGAUAUUAUUUUUAAAAUUUGAACCCAUUCCAAACCCGAUUAUAACUACUCAAAUCUGUUCUAUUAGGGUUCGGUCGGAUCGGAUACCAAAAACAAUACUCGAUCUGUUGCCAUCCUACUUCAGCCAAGGUAAUGCAUAUAUGAUAAAUGUAAUAUUUUAAGCAUUAUUUAUUUUUUCUUUUAAAAAAAUUAUGUUACUUAUAUAUUUUAUAUUUUUUUACAUGUAAUUUUAAAAAUGUGAGUAAUGUUAUAAUGAUAUUCUUAAGUUAAAUUUUAUAGGAAAAAGGAUUAAUGUAUAAUAGUAGUUGAAAUAAAGUAAAAUAUUAAUGAAAUUUAAAAUAUUUUUCAUUACUAAUAAGUAAAAAAAUUAUAGUUAAAAUUAUUAUUGUAACAUCACAAAAUUAUUUAUUUAUUCUUUGUUAAAUAUUGCAUUUGUUAAAUUGAUAUUUUAAAAAAUGUGACUUUUAAUUAAUUUUUUUUGCAAAGUUGUACUUUGAAAUUAUUUUUAUAAACAAUAACUAAAAAUCUUUAAAGAACUAGAAACUAACUUUUUAAUUGGCUUUAUUUUUUUUAAGUAUAAUUUUAAUUUUUUUAAUUAAUGAUAAAAUUAAUUAGCGUUUCAUUUUAAAUAGUAUUAAAAAUUUAAAAAUGUAUUAAUGGGAUUGUACAAUUCUUGGUAGAACAUCAGUUUGAUUGCAAUAAGAAAUUAAUCUGCUAACCUAUCUAAUUACAAAAUUUUUAAUUAAUGAUAAUUUUUUAACCAAUUAAAAUAAAGAAAACAUUGUAAAGUAUAUUAAUUUCUUAUUAAAAUUAAUAUAUUUAAAUUAAAAUAACUAAUAUGUUUAAUAUAAAAAUUAGUUGAAUUAAAUUAUUAUAAAAAUUUUUAUUUUAAAUACGGAAAACAUGAUGCCCUUAUUUUUUUUAUGGAUGGUAUAAUUACAUUUGCUUUGCUAAUUUUUAUUAGGCCAAAAUAAUUUGGAAAUCAGAAUUGGGAUAUAAUUUAAAUUAUCUAAAAAAUACUUAAAAUAAGUUUAAAUUUUAUAAACCAAAUUAAAAUACUUAAUCAGUUUGAUUUAAAAUAAAAUUAAAUCGAAUAAAUUAAAAGUUAAAAUUUUAGUAUUCUAACUAAUUUUAAAUAGAAAUUGAGUCAAAUUGAAUCGAAACUGAUUCAAUUUGGUUUAAUUGAUUCGACUUUUUAAUAAAAUUUUUAUUUUUAAAACUUUAUUUUUAAUAUUUUAAAAUUUAAUUUAAAUAUUUCAACAUUUAAUUAUAGUAUAAUCUCUCUAUAUUAUUAAAAACAAUAUACUCUUAUUAUUAAUCGGUUCGAUUUAAUUUUUUUAAUCAAAAUUAUAUUAAAAUUGAAAUAACUAAAAUAUUUUAAAGUAAAAAAUUAAACUAAAUCUUAAUAAAUAAAAAAUUAAACUGAAUUUUUAAAUUAAUUCAAUUAAAUCAAUAUUUUCGAUUUGAACCAAAUAUUUUUUCCCUCUUACUUAUUUUCAUUUUAAUUGGAUUAAAAGGAUAAUAGAUAAUGGAUUGUGUCACUUCAAUAAUUUAUUCAAUAUUGGUUAAUGAAAACAGAACAGACUUUAUCAUUCUUUUAAGAGAUAUGCAGUAAGAAGAUCAUGUGUCUAAAGCUUUUUUAGAGGUGGUCCUUAAAUUACACAUUUAUUAUUUGCUGAUGAUUUUAUUAUCUAUUCUAAGGCUAUGAUUCAUGAAGUUUUGGUUAUGAAGCAGAUUCUUCAUAAUUAUUCUGCAGUUAGUGGCCAGACAAUCAAUUUGAGUAAGUUUAAUUUGAUUUUCAAUUUGAAGUGUAGACUGAGAAUUGUUGGUAUUCUCGAAGUUAGUCAUUUAGAUGCCUUAGAUAAAUUUUUUGGUUUGCCUUUUGACAUAUACUGAUCUAAAAAGCAGCUUUUCUCUUUCAUUAAAGAAUGAAUUGAAAAUAAAACUAUGAGAUGAUAAGAAAAAUUAUUAUCGAAGAGAGGUAACUAAAUUAUAAUUAAGGCCGUAGCUGCAGCAAUUCUAAUUAAUAUAAUGUCUGGUUUUAAACUUCAUUUAUCCUUAUGCCUUUCCAUUAAUUCUUUUUUAGCUAAUUUUUGGUGGAGUAAUGGUAAACAGCAAAGAAAUGUGCAUUGGGUAGCUUGGAAUACAUGUUGUGAUCCAAAGGUUCAUGGUGGUAUGGGUUUUAGAGAAAUAGUGAGCUUUAAUAGAGCUCUUUUAGCUCGUCAGGGAUGGCAGAUUUUAUCAAAGCCAAAUGCUUUAUUAUCAAAAGAAAGUAUUUUCAGCGUACUUCUUUCUUACAUGCUCAAUUGAGUAGUCAUGCUUCUUAAGGUUGGAGAAAUAUUUUAUAGGAAAAGGAAAUUUUUAAAGGAAGGUGUUCGACGGAAUGUCUGUUCGAGGGAAUUAAUUAUGUGCAAGGAAGACAAGUGGGUGCCAAAUUCCUUUUCUAAUGUUCCUAAGGUGAGAACUUACCACAAUCCUGCUAUUAUUUGUAUAUCACAAUUGAUAGAUCAAUCUUCUGUGUUCUGAAACAAAUAAAUUGUUCUAUUCAAUUUUUGUGAAGAGGAUGCUAGGAAUAUCUUAGCCAUAUCAGAAAAUAUGUUUAGAAGGAAAGAUUUCUUAGUUUGGCAUUAUACAAAUCGUGGUGAAUAUUCAGUUAAAUCAAAAUAUUAUAUUGCUCGUAAGCUUCAUGAAUCUUAUCCUUCAAUGAUUUAUAAUUCAGCAGGUACAAGUUCAAGUAAAAGUUGGUCUGCUUUUUGGAAAAAGGUAUGGAGCAUUCCUUUGCCCUAAGCUAUCAAUAUUCCUUUGAAUUCUACACAAAGACAGGCUUCCUUGUAUUGCAUGAGAAAAUUAUGCAUGUUGACCCUUAGUGUAAUUUUUUUCUGAAACUAAUGGUGCAUCUUCUUCUAUUAUAAAUUGAUCUCCUCCUAGAGUGCGUUGGGUUAAAUUGAAUUUUGAUGUGGUCGGUAGAUAAACAUAGUAAUCGAGGUGCUUUGGCUAUUUAAUCAAUAAAUUACUGGUUUUUUUUGUCAAAGAUUAUCUAGAGUUUAUUAAAAAGCUAAGGUCUAUGAAAAAGUAAAAGUUUAAGAAAAAGAAGCUGUUAAGGCCCCAAUCCAUACAAAAUAAAGAAUUAGGCCCAUGAGCCCAAACCCAUGAAUAAGGAAGCCCCAAACCCAUAAGUUUGGCCCGCUAUAAGGAAGCCCUAUACUGAGCAGAGAGAACUUCUACUCUGUCAUUGCUGCGCAAGGUUGCCGCCAAUAAAUAAUUUUCAAAUUGAAGAAACAAGGAUAAGUAAAAAAAUAAAUAAAAUAUACUUUAAUAUUUUUUGGAUCAAUAUAUAUUGAUUCAUUUAAUAAUUUUCUUUAUAAGAAAAUUGAAUUCUGUUCACAUAGAUUUAAAAAACUUGUAACAUAUAAUUUUUAACAUAUAAAUAAGUAAAUUUCACUAUAAAAAAAUAUAUAUAUAUGUUUUGUAUUCACGUGGACGGAUACACUCAGAAUUUCCCUCCUUUAAAAACCCUAGAUAUCCGCCCUCUUUUUUCUCACCUUGCAAGAGCUGCAACAGGAAUUCCGAGCGGCCGCUCUUCCUCUGCGUCUCCGACUGCUCUUCCUAUCGGCCCAGGUUCGGUCUCCUUCACUUCCUCUACUCUGUCGCUCGCUCUCCUUUAUAUGACCCUUUGGCAGUCUUCGCUUGUUGCUUUGAAUGUAUAUCUGGGUAGGUUUUAGAAUUUGCUUUUGGGUUUGAUUUUGGUGGAUCUAAUGAUAUAUAUUUUAUAACGUUUUGCUUCAAAAGGUGUGUUUUAUUGGAUUUUAGCUUUCUUCAAAACUUUCAAGAUCAGAUGAUGUUUGUCUAGUAUAUGCUGGAAAAGUAAAUAUAAUGAGAUUGUUUAAGUUUAUUUUCUAUUAUAACUAUUGAAGUACUAGCUUGGAUUCUCUGCUGAGCAAGUUUUGUGCAUUGGAUUGUUUUAUUAAGAUUCUGUUUGGCAUUGAAACAUUUUGGUAAACAUGUUAGUAAGAGAUAUUAAACUUUGAUUUAAAACGAGUUUUUUAAACUGUUAUUUUCAAUAGCAUCUAAUGAAGCUGCCCUGUUUUGGCCUACAAAUUAUGCAUCAGAAUUUAUUUUUUAACCCAACACUUUAGAUUGAUGAUAAGACAUACCUUCUACAAAAUGGGAUGGCCAAAUUUACCCUGCAGAUUUCUUUAGCUGCUAUGGUUUGGAGUAUGUGUGUGUAUACAGUGAUGUGUUUGAACUGGUCCUUUUUAGAAUUUCCCUUUAACCUGCAUUUGGUUUCCUGCAGGAUGGAUACUCAACUUAAGCAUGCUGUGGUGGUGAAAGUAAUGGGAAGGACUGGAUCAAGGGGUCAGGUGACUCAAGUCAGAGUCAAGUUUUUGGAUGACCAGAAUCGAUUCAUCAUGAGGAACGUGAAGGGACCCGUUAGAGAAGGAGAUGUGCUUACCCUCCUUGAAUCUGAAAGAGAAGCUAGGAGACUACGUUGAUGGGUGUAUUUCUGCCUCUCAUUCCUAUGUUUUUUAUGAUGUAAGGUUGUUUUGUUGUGGUAGCUAAGAGUAAUUUCCAAUGCUUUUUAUGAGCUUUGUCAUCUGUAUUACAUUUUUCAUCAUAACAGUAUCAAGACAUGAAUUUUGAUAUAUGGGUUUUUUGGGUACUUGAAAAAGACCUAGAUUUUGAUGUGAAUUGUGGUUUCCUUUGUUGGGAUUUUUUAUUUUUUAGCUAUACCAUUGCCAAUUUGUGAUGCUUGGAUCUCAUUUUUGGAUGGGAAAAUGUUUAAUGGCCUUGUUUUUAUUCAUAGCAUGCAAGUCGUAAAU
rnacentral:lncRNA from 1 species